UUUCAGUCUUCUUUCUUUUCCCUCCUUCCAAACCCUAAAAUUAUUUGACUUCCCUCCCAUCCACAGUUACGCAAGCGACGGUUUUGCAAGCGAUGAACAAGAUUUGCUUCUUUCAACAGAUUGACAUCAGAUGAAGAAAUCAAAAGUUUUAAUUUGGCUUCUUGAAGUAUUAUUUGCAUUCAGGAAUAUCCCUAAAUCAUAUGGUAAGUAUCCUAAAUCCAUGAUAUUGUUGUUCAUAUGUAAGCAGGUGUCUAUUUUUUCCUGAAUUAGUUUCUUAUGUUUGACUUUAUAUAAAGGUUGCAACAAUCAUCAUCAUUUGUUUUAAUGUAGGAGCAUUUGAAAUGAGUCGACAUAAUAUCCUUUACUACUAAUCUAUAUAUAUUUAAGUUUUUGAGAUUGGGUUUUAAUCCAAGAGCAUCUCGGUAUGUGUCAUUGAAUCUAUAUAUAUAUUUAAGUUUUUGAGAUUGGAAUUUUAGGGUUGUAGUUAGGAAUUCACAACAGAGUGCAUACUUUUGUUGAUUGUUUGGUUCCUUACAAUGAAUAUUUAUGACCUUCUAAUUAAAUGUAUUUGCUAUUUUCUUAUGUGAGAAUUUUUUUAUGUGGAGAUUUCUGAAUCUCUUGUAGGAUUUCAUUACUGAUUUCAUUACUGCAGAGGAAUUGUCUAGAGAUCACAGGGAUGCCUUCAUGAACACUUGUUUAUUUGGGCAGAGGAUAUGGUUGGAAGUAAGAAUGUUUACCAACAUUCUUGUAUUAUGUAGGAAGUCACACUUGUAGAGCUUGAUGGAGACAGAGAUUACCACAUGCCUGUUGAACUUGGAGGUAGUGGUGGAAUGGUAUGCUUAAAAUAUAUUUCCGUGUCUCUGUGUUAUGCAUUAUGUUUCGCUAGGCAAUUAUUUUAUUUAUCAAGUUACUAAUUUUAUAAGGCUUUAUUUCAACUAAUUUACAUGUUGAAGUUGAGAAAAACUAGUUGCUGGAAAUGCGCUAAAGGAUUGAAGAUGGUCAUUAUAGAAAAAAAGCCGAGCUUGAAACUAUGCGAAAAGAGUUUGCCAGCCAGCGACACAACUUGGAAGCUAUGAUGCGGAAGGUUAUGAAACAAGUAGUUGGAGAUCGAGAUGAGUAGAAUGUUUUCAAUUUUUUAUUAUUGUAAUUGACUGUAGAGUUAUUUAAGUUUCGACAAACAUGUUGAAGUGCACACUUUGAUUAUCAAUGAUAUCUUUGU
rnacentral:lncRNA from 1 species